GAGCGCAACCCUCGUUCUAUGUUGCCAGCACGUAAUGGUGGGAACUGCAUGGGAUACUGCCGGGGUCAACUCGGAGGAAGGUGGGGAUGACGUCAAAUCAUCAUGCCCCUUAUGUCUUGGGCUUCACGCAUGCUACAAUGGCCGGUACAAUGGGCUGCGAUACCGUAAGGUGGAGCGGAUCCCAAAAAGCCGGUCCCAGUUCGGAUUGAGGUCUGCAACUCGACCUCAUGAAGUCGGAGUCGCUAGUAAUCGCAGAUCAGCAACGCUGCGGUGAAUACGUUCCCGGGUCUUGUACACACCGCCCGUCAAGUCAUGAAAGUCGGUAACACCUGAAGCCGGUGGCCUAACCCUUGUGGAGGGAGCCGUCGAAGGUGGGAUUGGUAAUUAGGACU
rnacentral:rRNA from 1 species